AGCGGCCAGUGCACCUGCUCUGGCCCUCGCCGCGGUCUCUGCCAGGACCCCGACGCCCAGCCUGACCCUGCCAUUCAGCGGGGCUGCGGCUCCACGGCCUGCGACAGCAGCCCCACCUGGCAUUCAGCGCGCUCCCGGGGGCAGAGGUCGCGGUGUCCUCACGCUGUGGUGCCGGCCUACAACCCCCACGCCGGGCUCGGGCCCGGCGGAGGAGGGCGAUGCUCCCCGGGUAGGACAAACCGGUCACCUGGGCUGCGAGGGCGGCUUAGGGGCAGAAGCGGCGGUCCAGGGCCGCCUGGCGCAGCAGCCUGUCCCAGCCGCGGUCCCUGCAGUCCCUCCCUGGCGGCUGCGCAGCCGUCCCACGACAGGGGCCAUAAACUCUCCAGAGCGGAAAGCCGCACCCUGGUGGCCCGGCCCCGCGCCCAGACCUGGCGGCCGCUGGCACCUGACCCGCUGCAUGGGUCUCCAGGGAGCUCGCUGCCCACCCGGCGCUGCAGGCUCGGCUCCCUCGUACACUCUCUGGCAAGCCCAAGAAAGUCAGGGGCCUAUGUGAGCCAAAGAGGAGAGAAGGUGAUGCCUCAGCCCAGUGUUUCUGCCCCACCUCGCUUGUGGCCUUCGGAACUUGAUUUGCACCGCAGGAAAAUGGGCAAUGAAAACCCCUCCCUAACUGGCUUCUCAGUCCACUCUGACCAGCCCACUGCACAGCGCCCACCCUGCAGCUCCAGAUGAGGCCUCACUCUGUCACCCAGGUUGGGGUGGAGUGGC
rnacentral:lncRNA from 1 species